rnacentral:rRNA from 1 species
GAUGAACGCUAGCGGCAGGCUUAACACAUGCAAGUCGAGGGGCAGCAUAAAUAGUAGCAAUACUAUUGGUGGCGACCGGCGGACGGGUGCGUAACGCGUAUACAACCUUCCCUAAACAGGGGGAUAAUCUGGAGAAAUACGGUCUAAUACCCCAUAACAUCAGAGCAGGCAUCUGUUUUGGUUAAAAUUUCCGGAGGUUUAGGAUGGGUAUGCGUAGCAUUAGCUAGUUGGUGAGGUAACGGCUCACCAAGGCGACGAUGCUUAGGGGGACUGAGAGGUGAAUCCCCCACACUGGUACGGAGACACGGACCAGACUCCUACGGGAGGCAGCAGUGAGGAAUAUUGGUCAAUGGGCGGAAGCCUGAACCAGCCAUGCCGCGUGCAGGAUGACGGCUCUAUGAGUUGUAAACUGCUUUUGUACGAGGGUAAAGUGGGCUACGUGUAGCCUUUUGAAAGUAUCGUACGAAUAAGGAUCGGCUAACUCCGUGCCAGCCGCCGCAGUAA